GAAUCUGAUUGGAUAAACAAGAACUGCUAAUUACUUGCCACUGUGGUUCAACUCCACGGCAGACUCG
rnacentral:tRNA from 1 species